rnacentral:rRNA from 1 species
UACGUAGGGGGGCAAGCGUUGUCCGGAUUUAUUGGGCGUAAAGAGCGUGUAGGCGGCCAGAUAGGUCCGUUGUGAAAACUCGAGGCUCAACCUCGAGACGCCGAUGGAAACCAUUUGGCUAGAGUCCGGAAGAGGAGAGUGGAAUUCCUGGUGUAGCGGUGAAAUGCGCAGAUAUCAGGAAGAACACCAAUGGCGAAGGCAGCUCUCUGGGACGGUACUGACGCUGAGACGCGAAAGCGUGGGGAGCGAACAGG